UGGGGGAUCGUCUAACGGUAGGACAACGGACUCUGACUCCGUUUAUCUAGGUUCGAAUCCUAGUCUCCCAGCCA
rnacentral:tRNA from 1 species